UCUAGUAGGGUCAACACCAGAGCAAUCAAUGUCAAGGAAGUGUCUCUUUGUAACAGAGUCUAUACUAUGUCUAAGCAGAGAAGAUCUUCCAGAGUCAAGCUCUCACCUCCUUUCUCUCUAGCCAUGCUCUUGGUGUCCAUUCUACUGCUUGGACUGCCCUUCACACUAAGAGGAAGCAGAGCCCAGUCUGUGACCCAGCCUGACCUCCAUGUCACUGUCACCGAAGGAGUCCGUCUGGAGCUGAGGUGCAACUAUUCCUAUGCUGCAACACCAUAUCUCUUCUGGUACGUCCAAUACCCAGACCAACACCUUGAGCAUCUCCUCACAUACUUGGCAAGAGACACCCUGGUUAAAGGCAUCAAAGGUUUUGAAGCUGAGUUUAAGGAGAGUGAAUCGUCUUUCAACCUGAGGAAGUCCUCAGCCCACUUGAGCGACUCAGCCAAGUACUUUUGUGCUCCAGUAGCACAGUGCCUAGGGCUACAGGGGGAGCUGAGCACAAACCUCCUCUGA